CCAGACUCCUACGGGAGGCAGCAGUGGGGAAUAUUGCACAAUGGGGGAAACCCUGAUGCAGCGACGCCGCGUGAGUGAAGAAGUAUUUCGGUAUGUAAAGCUCUAUCAGCAGGGAAGAAAAUGACGGUACCUGACUAAGAAGCCCCGGCUAACUACGUGCUAGCAGCCGCGGUAAUACGUAGGGGGCAAGCGUUAUCCGGAUUUACUGGGUGUAAAGGGAGCGUAGACGGCAUGGCAAGUCAGAUGUGAAAGCCCGGGGCUCAACCCCGGGACUGCAUUUGAAACUGUCAGGCUGGAGUGCAGGAGAGGUAAGUGGAAUUCCUAGUGUAGCGGUGAAAUGCGUAGAUAUUAGGAGGAACACCAGUGGCGAAGGCGGCCUGCUGGACGACAACUGACGGUGAGGCGCGAAAGCGUGGGGAGCAAACAGGAUUAGAUACCCGCGUAC
rnacentral:rRNA from 1 species